CCAUAAGAUCGGAUAUAACUCCUCUACCUAAAGGCCUUUGACUUCAUACAGUUAGGUUUUAAGCCUAUGCAGGAUUGUUCGGUUGGUUACCUUCACUUCUCCAUUUGAUUGUGGAUGGCCGAUCGAUGUGAGUUUGUGCGUAAUGUGAAAUUUUGCAUAGAACUUUUUAAAAUUUUGAUUGUCAAAUUAUCGAUCAUUAUCGGUGAUGAUGGUGUG
rnacentral:lncRNA from 1 species